rnacentral:rRNA from 1 species
UCGAUGAAGAACGCAGCGAAAUGCGAUAAGUAAUGUGAAUUGCAGAAUUCAGUGAAUCAUCGAAUCUUUGAACGCACAUUGCGCCCAUUAGUAUUCUAGUGGGCAUGCCUGUUCGAGCGUCAUUUCAACCCCUAAGCACAGCUUAUUGUUGGGAACCUACGGCUUCGUAGUUCCUCAAAGACAUUGGCGGAGUGGCAGUGGUCCUCUGAGCGUAGUAAUCUUUUAUCUCGCUUCUGUUAGGUGCUGCCCCCCCGGCCGUAAAACCCCCAAUUUUUUCUGGUUGACCUCGGAUCAGGUAGGAAUACCCGCUGAACUUAAGCAUAUCAAUAAGCGGAGGA